rnacentral:rRNA from 1 species
GAACGCUGGCGGCAGGCCUAACACAUGCAAGUCGAGCGGUAACAGAAGAAAGCUUGCUUCUUUGCUGACGAGCGGCGGACGGGUGAGUAAUGCCUGGGAAUAUGCCUUAGUGUCGGGGGAUAACUAUUGGAAACGAUAGCUAAUACCGCAUAACGUCUUCGGACCAAAGAGGGGGACCUUCGGGCCUCUCGCGCUAAGAUUAGCCCAGGUGGGAUUAGCUAGUUGGUGAGGUAAAGGCUCACCAAGGCAACGAUCCCUAGCUGGUCUGAGAGGAUGAUCAGCCACACUGGAACUGAGACACGGUCCAGACUCCUACGGGAGGCAGCAGUGGGGAAUAUUGCACAAUGGGGGAAACCCUGAUGCAGCCAUGCCGCGUGUAUGAAGAAGGCCUUCGGGUUGUAAAGUACUUUCAGUCGUGAGGAAGGCAUUGUAGUUAAUAGCUGCAGUGCUUGACGUUAGCGACAGAAGAAGCACCGGCUAACUCCGUG